CUGUUUACCAAAAACAUAGGUUUCUGCUAAGUCGCAAGACGAUGUAUAGGAGCUGACGCCUGCCCGGUGCUGGAAGGUUAAGGGGAUCUGUUAGAGCAAUCGAAGCAGUGAACUUAAGCCCCAGUAAACGGCGGCCGUAACUAUAACGGUCCUAAGGUAGCGAAAUUCCUUGUCGGGUAAGUGCCGACCCGCACGAAAGGCGUAACGAUUUGGGCACUGUCUCAACAACAGACUCGGUGAAAUUGUAAUUCCGGU
rnacentral:rRNA from 1 species